rnacentral:tRNA from 1 species
GGGCCCGUAUUAUAAUGGUAUUAUUCGCCCAUGGCAUGGGUGAGACCCGAGUUCGAUUCUCGGCGGGUCCA